rnacentral:rRNA from 1 species
ACGCGAGCUGGGUUCAGAACGUCGUGAGACAGUUCGGUCCCUAUCCGUCGCAGGCGUAGGAAAUUUGAGAAGACCUGUCCUUAGUACGAGAGGACCGGGAUGGACGUACCUCUGGUGUACCCGUUGUUCUGCCAAGGGCAUGGCUGGGUAGCUAUGUACGGAAUGGAUAAGCGCUGAAAGCAUCUAAGCGCGAAGCCAACUUCAAGAUAAGAUUUCCCACCGCAAGGGUAAGACCCCAGAAAGACUAUC